AAGGCCAGGUCACUGCCCUCUCUCAGGGAGGAGUCAGACCUCUAGUCUAAGCUGGCCCUGCACUGAUGAGCUAAAAUGAGGCUGUGGCUGCUGAGUUUGGUGGCAGGGGUCACCUUGGGGGUGGCCGGGACCCCUCUGGGAAAAGUCUCAACAGGAAGAAAACAAGCAGAGGAGGAAAAGGCAGGACAGACAACAUCAAGUAAGAAUGAAGUUGCUAAAACUUCACUCAUUUGUAAUGGUAGCUGCACUGAAUCUAAGAUGCACCAUUUGGAUAGUUCUGAGAAAGAAAAAGGAGAAGGAAAAGGACAAAGAGAGCUUGAUCCCUACAAAGAGUCCCUGGGUACCCUGGACCUUCAAAGGACCAUCCUCCUCCAGUUGCUUAACCAGACAAAGGCUAUGAACAGGAGCUCGGAAAUGGAUUUUACCCUUCAGAAUCUAAAUGGCAGCAGCAUCAGAGAUCUCUGUGAGGGCUGCUGUGAGGAGAGAGAGAAAGAGGAGCCAAACCUAAGCAGGAAACUAAGUAUGACAUUGAAGUCUCCCAGGAAGAGAAGACCUGGCCAGUGGACACUCCUUAGGGGUGUGGCUCUCCCGCUUGAGAACAGUUCCAUCAAUAUGGUGAUAAUGUUUCAUAAUGGCACUCAUAUCGGCUAUCAAGAUAAGAAAGUCACACACCAGGCUGAGAACCUCAGAGAAGGGUGGUGCUCUGGCUGCUGCGAAGACAGUGAAACUGUGGUGGUCCUUGAGAGAAGAGAGGGAGAAGAAGUCAGAGAAGUGCCUCCUAUUACCACUGAUCAUGGUGGUCAGGUCCUAGGGAACUCUGGCUCCACAGAGAUGAGAUUUGCUCACCUCUCCGAAGUUUCCCAUGAAGCUGGAGGGCAGUUUGAUCUCAGCUAAACAGUGCUCUAGUCUGGGCCUCUACCUUGAAUAAG
rnacentral:lncRNA from 1 species